AGUGUUGUGGCUCAGUGGUAGAGCACUUGCCUAGCAUGUGUGAGGCCCUGGGUUCGAUCCUCAGCACCACAU
rnacentral:tRNA from 1 species